rnacentral:rRNA from 1 species
UACGUAGGGUGCGAGCGUUGUCCGGAAUUAUUGGGCGUAAAGAGCUCGUAGGCGGUCUGUCGCGUCGGUCGUGAAAACUUGGGGCUUAACCCUGAGCUUGCGGUCGAUACGGGCAUGACUGGAGUUCGGCAGGGGAGACUGGAAUUCCUGGUGUAGCGGUGAAAUGCGCAGAUAUCAGGAGGAACACCGGUGGCGAAGGCGGGUCUCUGGGCCGUAACUGACGCUGAGGAGCGAAAGCAUGGGGAGCGAACAGG